rnacentral:rRNA from 1 species
GAUGAACGCUGGCGGCGUGCCUAAUACAUGCAAGUCGAGCGAACAGACGAGGAGCUUGCUCCUCUGACGUUAGCGGCGGACGGGUGAGUAACACGUGGAUAACCUACCUAUAAGACUGGGAUAACUUCGGGAAACCGGAGCUAAUACCGGAUAAUAUAUUGAACCGCAUGGUUCAAUAGUGAAAGACGGUUUUGCUGUCACUUAUAGAUGGAUCCGCGCCGCAUUAGCCAGUUGGUAAGGUAACGGCUUACCAAGGCAACGAUGCGUAGCCGACCUGAGAGGGUGAUCGGCCACACUGGAACUGGGACACGGUCCAGACUCCUACGGGAGGCAGCAGUAGGGAAUCUUCCGCAAUGGGCGAAAGCCUGACGGAGCAACGCCGCGUGAGUGAUGAAGGUCUUCGGAUCGUAAAACUCUGUUAUUAGGGAAGAACAAAUGUGUAAGUAACUAUGCACGUCUUGACGGUACCUAAUCAGAAAGCCACGGCUAACUACGUG